rnacentral:rRNA from 1 species
UGAGGAAUCUUCCACAAUGGGCGAAAGCCUGAUGGAGCAACGCCGCGUGCAGGAUGAAGGCCUUCGGGUUGUAAACUGCUUUUAUAAGUGAAGAAUAUGACGGUAACUUAUGAAUAAGCACCGGCUAACUACGUGCCAGCAGCCGCGGUCAUACGUAGGGUGCAAGCAUUAUCCGGAGUGACUGGGCGUAAAGAGUUGCGUAGGUGGUUAGUAAAGUGAAUAGUGAAAUCUGGCGGCUCAACCGUACAGACUAUUAUUCAAACUCACUAACUCGAGAAUGGUAGAGGUAACUGGAAUUUCUUGUGUAGGAGUGAAAUCCGUAGAUAUAAGAAGGAACACCAAUGGCGUAGGCAGGUUACUGGACCAUUUCUGACACUGAGGCACGAAAGCGUGGGGAGCGAACC